rnacentral:lncRNA from 1 species
UAUUUUUCAAAUGUUGCAAUUCUGCUCACCAUUUGAUCUUUUUCCUGCCUUGUAUGUGUAUAUGUAUUGCAAUUUCUUUGCACAGGUCAUCUAUAUUGUAUCUUCCUUUGUUGAAUCUCACCGAGUUCCUUUCACGCCAGAUGCAGUAAAUCACCAUUACAAAUAAUGUUGUGAUCAUUUCUGCCUUGCAAUCUUUCCUCAUUGCCAUGUUGCAUAUCCAUUGCAAUUCAUGUUGCCAGCUUCUUAUCUAUUGUGCAUUGUCAGUCCAAAUCAAAACUCUUUUCCAUAGUUUGCUUGUACUUGGAUAACCAAAGUAUAUAUGUUCAAAUGUUUCUACAUUCUGUGCACAAAAUUAACAGUCUAGUUGGACUUGAAUUCCAAACUUGGCAAGUCUAUCCACAGUUGCU